rnacentral:rRNA from 1 species
GACGAACGCUGGCGGCGUGCCUAAUACAUGCAAGUAGAACGCACAGUUUAUACCGUAGCUUGCUACACCAUAAACUGUGAGUUGCGAACGGGUGAGUAACGCGUAGGUAACCUGCCUGGUAGCGGGGGAUAACUAUUGGAAACGAUAGCUAAUACCGCAUAAUAUUGAUUAUUGCAUGAUAAUUGAUUGAAAGAUGCUAUUGCAUCACUACCAGAUGGACCUGCGUUGUAUUAGCUAGUAGGUGAGGUAACGGCUCACCUAGGCGACGAUACAUAGCCGACCUGAGAGGGUGAUCGGCCACACUGGGACUGAGACACGGCCCAGACUCCUACGGGAGGCAGCAGUAGGGAAUCUUCGGCAAUGGACGAAAGUCUGACCGAGCAACGCCGCGUGAGUGAAGAAGGUUGUCGGAUCGUAAAGCUCUGUUGUAAGAGAAGAACGGGUGUGAGAGUGGAAAGUUCACACUGUGACGGUAUCUGACCAGAAAGGGACGGCUAACUACGUG